rnacentral:rRNA from 1 species
AGAGUUUGAUCAUGGCUCAGAUUGAACGCUGGCGGCAGGCCUAACACAUGCAAGUCGAGCGGAAACGAGUUAUCUGAACCUUCGGGGGACGAUAACGGCGUCGAGCGGCGGACGGGUGAGUAAUGCCUAGGAAAUUGCCCUGAUGUGGGGGAUAACCAUUGGAAACGAUGGCUAAUACCGCAUAAUGCCUACGGGCCAAAGAGGGGGACCUUCGGGCCUCUCGCGUCAGGAUAUGCCUAGGUGGGAUUAGCUAGUUGGUGAGGUAAUGGCUCACCAAGGCGACGAUCCCUAGCUGGUCUGAGAGGAUGAUCAGCCACACUGGAACUGAGACACGGUCCAGACUCCUACGGGAGGCAGCAGUGGGGAAUAUUGCACAAUGGGCGCAAGCCUGAUGCAGCCAUGCCGCGUGUGUGAAGAAGGCCUUCGGGUUGUAAAGCACUUUCAGUCGUGAGGAAGGUAGUGUAGUUAAUAGCUGCAUUAUUUGACGUUAGCGACAGAAGAAGCACCGGCUAACUCCGUGCCAGCAGCCGCGGUAAUACGGAGGGUGCGAGCGUUAAUCGGAAUUACUGGGCGUAAAGCGCAUGCAGGUGGUUUGUUAAGUCAGAUGUGAAAGCCCGGGGCUCAACCUCGGAAUAGCAUUUGAAACUGGCAGACUAGAGUACUGUAGAGGGGGGUAGAAUUUCAGGUGUAGCGGUGAAAUGCGUAGAGAUCUGAAGGAAUACCGGUGGCGAAGGCGGCCCCCUGGACAGAUACUGACACUCAGAUGCGAAAGCGUGGGGAGCAAACAGGAUUAGAUACCCUGGUAGUCCACGCCGUAAACGAUGUCUACUUGGAGGUUGUGGCCUUGAGCCGUGGCUUUCGGAGCUAACGCGUUAAGUAGACCGCCUGGGGAGUACGGUCGCAAGAUUAAAACUCAAAUGAAUUGACGGGGGCCCGCACAAGCGGUGGAGCAUGUGGUUUAAUUCGAUGCAACGCGAAGAACCUUACCUACUCUUGACAUCCAGAGAACUUUCCAGAGAUGGAUUGGUGCCUUCGGGAACUCUGAGACAGGUGCUGCAUGGCUGUCGUCAGCUCGUGUUGUGAAAUGUUGGGUUAAGUCCCGCAACGAGCGCAACCCUUAUCCUUGUUUGCCAGCGAGUAAUGUCGGGAACUCCAGGGAGACUGCCGGUGAUAAACCGGAGGAAGGUGGGGACGACGUCAAGUCAUCAUGGCCCUUACGAGUAGGGCUACACACGUGCUACAAUGGCGCAUACAGAGGGCAGCAAGCUAGCGAUAGUGAGCGAAUCCCAAAAAGUGCGUCGUAGUCCGGAUUGGAGUCUGCAACUCGACUCCAUGAAGUCGGAAUCGCUAGUAAUCGUGGAUCAGAAUGCCACGGUGAAUACGUUCCCGGGCCUUGUACACACCGCCCGUCACACCAUGGGAGUGGGCUGCAAAAGAAGUAGGUAGUUUAACCUUCGGGAGGACGCUUACCACUUUGUGGUUCAUGACUGGGGUGAAGUCGUAACAAGGUADC